UACAGAGGUCCCAAGCGUUGUUCGGAAUCACUGGGCGUAAAGGGCGUGUAGGCGGGUAGGCAAGUCGGGCGUGAAAUCCCUGAGCUCAACUCAGGAACUGCACUCGAAACUGCUUAUCUUGAGUGCCGGAGAGGAAAGCGGAAUACCUGGUGUAGAGGUGAAAUGCGUAGAUACCCGGAGGAACACCAGUGGCGAAGGCGGCUUCCUGGUCUGCGACUGACGCUGUGGCGCGAAAGCUAGGGGAGCAAACGGG
rnacentral:rRNA from 1 species